rnacentral:lncRNA from 1 species
GAAAAUAGUGAUGUUUCAGUUUAAUCAUCAUCAAGAAUUUGAAAUAGUGAUGGAACAUGGAAGCAAUGGAGUACUCAGUUUUGUUGGUGCCAAAACUUCUGUAGUUUUGAUAUGUUGUUAAGAGUAAAAUUAGGAAAACUGACUACUCCUGCAGUUCUAAGCACCGACUCCAGUUUCAGUUUUGUUGACUACAGAAUUUGUGUUGCACAGUUUCUUGGCUGUUAAGAGUAAAAUUUUACUCCUUGUUUUGGUUUGGAGUAUCUCAUACUAUCAAAAGGAGACUCUGAAGUUUUUCUUUUCGUACUCUCAAACCCAAAACACCCUCAAAAUCUUCACAUUUCCAAGGCCUAACUCUCUCCAUCUUCAUCUUUUCGGAGCCUCGGAAAGGUAGGUUGCCCAAUUUAGAGGUUGAGUGCGUCUUCUGCAAGGAAAGGCUUCACUAGAAGAGGAACUACAAAAAGUACAAGGCAGACCUGAAAAAAGAAUUGGAAAAAGUUUCAACACAGCUAAAAAUGGUAUACAUGUUAGGGACAUUUAUAUUUGUGCCCCUAACUCGACCCCACGACUCAGAUUUACCAAUAAUUCUCGAGUCUGCUCAAAUUUGCCCCUCUUCCAUAAUAAGAUGUUAUGGUUCUAUGGGGCCUUAGCACGACGACUUCCCGACUGUCUACUACAACAAGGUUUGCCCGGCUCCGGCGAGGGAGGGGCGAUGACAGCGGCGCGCCUUCAGCUCGCUUCAGUGCUUGUAGUCGUCGUUAGGUGGUCUGCGGAUCUGGAUGUAAUUUUUAUUAUUUCUAGUGUUCGUUGUACUGCCAUGAUUGAAGAUGAAUAAAUUGGAAGUUUUCCCGCAAAAAAAAACACAUUACCGAGUUUAUUUUAAAAAAUAGGUGUUGUAUAUCUAGAUUGUACUCAUCAAACGAAAAUGCCUCAGAUAGUCAGACAUAUAUACAUCUUACUUUUUACAAUUUUUACCAAGCUCAACUAACUUGCGUAGCUUCAACAUGAUUUUCUUAAAUUGCGCACAUAGAUGAUAAUUCAAGAUUCUAUUGCGUAUGACAUCAUAGGGCAUGAAAAACAGGUGCAAAAGAUGUUACCUUCACAGCUUCACUGCUAUUAUGGCAUUGUCAAGAAGAGGUAGCAGAUUGGGAUGAUUGAACAAGGAUGAACCUCCUUCACCAGAUCAGUUGCCCCCUUGCUCUGUAUGACUGUAUCCACCACCUUCAUAGCGUAUGUCCCAUCCUUUGAACCAACAUUAGCAUGGCAGCAUCAGAAGCUUGAGAAUCUCGAAAAUUUCCAAGUUCCACGCACCAAUGAAAACAAAAACUUAAGUUCUAUGCAACAAGUAUUACAGAACUUAACUCUUAAGCCCAGCUGAUGGCAACAUCUAGUAGCAGGGGCAGAGGGGAAGGAGAAAAUUAUACAGACUCUGCACACAAAAGCACAAGGAUGCAUUUGUCAGCUUAAGAAAUGGAAAUGAUUUCACAGAUUCAAAACGAACGCACAAAACCUAUAACACACGGAGACAUGGAGGCGAGAGGUCACCAAGAGGUGAGUGGGCGAACUCAGCUGGGGGUACACGCAACAUGCAAGAUAAAUCACUGACCUAAAACUUGGUUUGUUCUGUAUUAUGCCAAAAGAAGGUAUUAGCGCUUAAUAUCUAAAUAGAAGUGCAGGAGAUGCUUUUCACGCUUAUUAUAAGAUCCUUUUUAUAGGAUCACUGGCGCAAGAACCUGAUUUGGCCUGGAAUUCAUUUGCUUAUUAAGGCUUUCAUUUGGCACCCAUAACCAUAAGUGUUGAACUAGAACUGAAUAUAGUCCCCAAGUUCUUGCAGCAUCAGAGAACUUUUGUGGCCGCCAGAAAUAAAAACAAAAUCAUGCAUUUUCAAGUAAAAGGAGCUUGCAUUGACAUUUGACAGCAAUACAAAGUCCAAUAAAUAGAUAUAUAUUCUCCCAUCAGUGGCUACUAAUAGCCAAGGCCAAAGAUAAAAAAGAUCAAUGAACAGAGUCGCAGUAGCGAAGAUAAAAAGACCAACCAAAAAAAUACAGUCAGAUCCAGACAAUCAAAGGUCAUCAAUCCUGAGCUGUAUAAUAAUGAAAAUAAAGUAUGACCACUCUAAAAAGGAACCAGACACUGGACCCCUAAUCAUAAAAAUUGUGCAUAUAUAUAGGCAGAACAAAUUAGAUCCUUGUUGGAGUUACAAAGAGGAAGUAUAAAAGGGAAGGAAGCAAAAUUAGUACUCACCUCACCCAUGAGGAACGGAAGCAGCAGCAUCAACAGCAGCACCAAAAGGAUAGGAGGGACAGUGGUGGAAGAUGCAGUUGAAGAGGAAGAUUUUUCUAUAAACAAAAUCAAUGGCACAAUGGAAAACAUUCAGAAUAGUGGGGGUCAAGCUUGCAAACAAAAGAAAAUGCUCAAAAUCUACUGUUUACUUUAGAACAAUCAAGGCUAGUACGUAUAAUACAGAACAAGGACCACUAUAUUUUUACUUUUUGAGUAACCAACACGGUAUUUUGUUUGGUGGACAAGCAACUUUUCAAUUUUCAGAGGGAGGGAGCAGUCCUGAAGGCACGGAGUAUUAUGCACAGAUACCUUAAAUAUUGCAACCAGACAUAAAUUGUGGAAUAUAUCAGGACCUGUGGCUCCAUUGAAGGCACCUCCAAGGCCAAAGCCUGGAAGAAUUAGACAAUUGCAGGCCUGUGGCUCCACUGAAGGCACUUCCAAGGCCAGAAGGAGCAUUUUUCUUUGUUCAAUUUCACCUCUAAUGCAAAAAAAGAUCUGCCUAUUAGCUAUGCCAUGUGUUUACAAUAGCAUAUUAGCAUGCCUAGUCUUUAAUAUUAGUACGUGUGCAAAUCCCGUUGCAUAAGCUUCAACUGUAAAAGCUAGCCCAAGUACAUAACUUCGAAUUACCUGUCUCAGAUUUUCCCAAAGUGCAGAAAAAGAUUCUUGUUUGUUCUUAGAAUUUACUUUUCCUGAUAUGAUGUUUGUCCUUUGAUUUGCACAACACUGCACACCCAUCUGGUUUAAUUUAUGCUAAUGAAAAAUAGGUGUCAUUGAAGAGGAGAAAAAUGUACUUGCCUACAGUUCUUGCAUUAUUCUGACAUACAAACCUUUACUAUUCUGUUUUUGAAGUUCUGUACUGAUAAGCAUCAAUUGUUGUAGUCCUCUGUUAUGAAAUCUGAUGUGGAUAAAUGCUCUAGAAAAAUCUGAUACAACAAUUUUAGUAAUCAUGGAUUUAAAACAACCUGAUCACUGCAUCUUGCUCACUCCAUUGGACCUCCACUUGCAUGAGAAAUAAUUUGAGCUCCUUGUU